rnacentral:rRNA from 1 species
UGGGGAAUAUUGCACAAUGGGCGCAAGCCUGAUGCAGCCAUGCCGCGUGUAUGAAGAAGGCCUUCGGGUUGUGAAGUACUUUCAGUCGGGAGGAAGGUGUCAAGGUUAAUAACCUUGGCAAUUGACGUUACCGACAGAAGAAGCACCGGCUAACUCCGUGCCAGCAGCCGCGGUAAUACGGAGGGUGCAAGCGUUAAUCGGAAUUACUGGGCGUAAAGCGCACGCAGGCGGUUUGUUAAGUCAGAUGUGAAAUCCCCGGGCUCAACCUGGGAACUGCAUCUGAUACUGGCAAGCUUGAGUCUCGUAGAGGGGGGUAGAAUUCCAGGUGUAGCGGUGAAAUGCGUAGAGAUCUGGAGGAAUACCGGUGGCGAAGGCGGCCCCCUGGACGAAGACUGACGCUCAGGUGCGAAAGCGUGGGGAGCAAACAGG